rnacentral:rRNA from 1 species
UUCCGGUUGAUCCCGCCGGAGGUCACUGCUAUCGGUGUCCGAUUAAGCCAUGCGAGUCGGGAGGGGUUAUGCCCUCGGCGGACUGCUCAGUAACACGUGGAUAACCUGCCCAAAAGUCCGGGAUAACCCCGGGAAACUGGGGAUAAGACCGGAUAGAUCAUCAAUGCUGGAAGGCCUGGUGGUUUAAACGUGAGGCUUUUGGAUGGGUCUGCGGCGGAUUAGGUGGACGCCGGUGUAACGUACCGGCGUGCCUGUAAUCCGUACGGGUUGUGGGAGCAAGAGCCCGGAGAUGGAUUCUGAGACACGAAUCCAGGCCCUACGGGGCGCAGCAGGCGCGAAAACUCUACAAUGCAGGCAACUGCGAUAGGGGGACAUCGAGUGGUACCCACCUUGGGUAUCUGUCCCACCGUCUAAAAAACGGUGGUUAGCAAGGGCCGGGCAAGACCGGUGCCAGCCGCCGCGGUAAUACCGGCGGCUCGAGUGGUGGCCGAUAUUAUUGAGUCUAAAGGGUCCGUAGCCGGCUCCGUGGGUCCCCCGGGAAAUCCAGCGGCUUAACCGUUGGUCGUCCGUGGGAUACCGCGUUGCUUGGGACCGGGAGAGGUGGGAG